rnacentral:rRNA from 1 species
CCUACGGGUGGCUGCAGUGGGGGAUAUUGCACAAUGGGGGAAACCCUGAUGCAGCGACGCCGCGUGAGUGAAGAAGGAUUUCGGUAUGUAAAGCCCUAUCAGCAGGGAAGAAAAUGACAGUACCUGACCAAGAAGCCCCGGAUAACUACGUGCCAGCAGCCGCGGGAAUACGGAGGGGGCAGGCGUUAUCCGGAGUUACUGGGAGUAAAGGGAGCGUAGACGGUUAUGUAAGUCUGGAGUGAAAGCCCGGGGACCAACCCCGGGACUGCGUUGGAAACCGUGGAACUGGAGUAGAGGAGGGGCAGGCGGAAUUCCCGGUGUAGCGGUGAAAUGCGUAGAUAUCAGGAGGAACACCGGCGGCGAAGGCGGCCUGCUGGA